rnacentral:rRNA from 1 species
UACGAAGGAUGCGAGCGUUAUCCGGAUUUAUUGGGUUUAAAGGGUGCGUAGGCGGUCUUAUAAGUCAGUGGUGAAAUCUUGUCGCUUAACGACAAACGUGCCCAUUGAUACUGUAGGACUUGAGUACAGAUGCCGUUGGCGGAAUGUGUCAUGUAGCGGUGAAAUGCAUAGAUAUGACACAGAACACCGAUUGCGAAGGCAGCUGACGAAACUGUAACUGACGCUGAUGGCACGAAAGCGUAGGGGA